GUCAGAGACCCGGAGGGCGGGGAGAAAGCUGAGGCACGGAAAAAGGUCAAACUAAAGGCGAGGAGAAGCGGCGGCAGCGGCGGCCGGAGCGGCGGAGGGAGGGGGGGCGGAUUGGGCGGGAGGGGAGAGAGCGAGAGCCCCCCCCGCACCCCCCACCCCCACAGCAGGUACGGGCGGGGGGGAGGAGGAGGAGGAGUGGGGUGCGCUGUUCCCCGUGGCCACGCCCCCUUCCUCACCUUUUGGGGGGGGCAUAGAAGAGGUGCCCCCCUGUACCCUUUUCUCAUUGCUUCUCCUCAGGAGCCCCUGAACUUAUAGGGGUGACAUGGAGGGGGGGGAAGCCUCUGGUUCCCCUCAUGUAAUGUGUGCCCCCCCCAAACCAACAUACACAGAUAAGCACCCUAAGGUGCCAGCCCUCCUCACAGUCUUAGGUGCUUCUGGCUGCCCCCUAUGUUUCUUAUAGUUCUCUCCCCCCCCCCAUUGGGGUCAAAAGCGGAAACUGCCCCCCCUCUUUUUUCUGGCACUUCUGCAAAAAACAGCAACAGCCCCCCCCCAGUAGGGGUGACCCCUGUGCUUCUCCUGCUGUCCUCAGGAGCCCUAGACUUAAAUGAGGAAGUCUUUCCUUCCCCUCAUGUAAUGUGUCCCUCCUCCCCCCCCAACGCACACAUAACCACCCUAAGGUGCCAGUCCUCCUUGUGGUCUGUGUGUUUCUGAGACCUAUGUAGGUGUGUGUGUCCCCACCUCACUUAUGGGGUCAAAAGCAGGAAGCGCGCCCCCCCCCCCACUUUUUCGGCACUUCUCUGAAAGAAAACGACAGCCCCACAUUGAAACGCACCUAUAUUCGGCUCCUCAAAUAAGUCUCUCUGCUCUUUAGCAGGGUUUUUUUGGGGGCGGGCGGGCACCAUGCUAGAGUGCCCCCAUAUCUGUCCCAAGUGUCCUGGAGAAGUACCAACAGUCCUGUGCUUGUCUCUUUCCACACUACUGCUCCCACCUAAGUUGACAAGCUUCCUCCUUGCCGUGUUCCUGGGCAUUGAGGAUGUCAAGGGAAUGUGAAGGGUAGGGUGGGGGCUUGCUGAAAAGUGAGCUGGUACAAAAAGGAAAGGUGCUGUUUGAAAAAGGGUCUUUGUUCUUUAUGCUAUGGGCAAGCUUGCACACACGCACACACACACACAAAUACAUAUAUGCAUGCCAUGACCUCUGCAUGCCCCACAGGGUCCUUUUCUGGUUACGUUGGGUGAUGUGGAGCGGAGAUAAAGAUGUUUUCCCUGCUUUGCUGUCAAGAUUCCUUUAGGGAGGAAUGUCACAGAUGGGUUGGAAGAGUUGGUGAUACAAGACGCAAAAGAGUUCUGUCGUUUUGCCCUGGUCUUCCCUGUUAGGGCAGCUGUACUGCAUAAGAAGGCAGCUCUGAUUUCUGUGAUUAUCUUUUUGGAGCACCCUGUCUUGGUGUGAUUGCUGUUUGACACUUUAGUCGUCCUUUAGGGGGCAACUGGGUGUUUGGGGAAAGGGAGACAACCCAGCAGCUGGCAGAGCUUUCCCUUUCUCUGUAGAAUUGAGGAAGUGGGGCAGGGGAUAUCCGGAGUGUUUCCCUCAAGCUUCCCAGCAAAAUAGUUUCUAUAAAAGACGGAUAUCAAGUGACAGUUUUGUGUAACACUCUUCACUUCCUUGUUUAUCUGCUUUCCUUAGCUAGGCUUGCCACUUCUUUAAGAUUGUUGACGGAUGAUGUUGUACGGACUAAAUAUAUAUAUAUCCCAUGAUGUCUGAUAGGGAGGGACUGGGACUAAAACAUCAGAUUUGUUUCUUCAUGGCCAUUGCAAGCAGUGUUGGAUUGAAGGAAAGGGAGUUUGUGCAAGGAAGCGAGAAUGAGACGAGAAGUCUCGGAGCUGUAGCGUAUAGCAACAGCAGGUUGCUCCUGAGCUGGAAACUUGGGUUCUGCUUUCUGAAACUUUCUGCUGACAGUACACUUCUUAGGGGGAAUCUGAGUGACGGCUGAUGCAGCAUUGCUGCUCAAGAUUUUUUUAAUAAAAAUUGUGGUUCAUUGAAAUUACUUCAUUUUGAUGUGCUGUACUCAGGCCUGCAGUGAUUGACAGUUGUGCAUCUAAGAUGUGGAUGUUGCCUGUUCACUAUAUGAGCAGUUGCUGCUUUGUAUCAGGAAACUACUCUAUUUAUAUCGUUGUUGUGUUUUUUUUUACAGGGCUAAAAGAAGAAAUCACAUGUACACCUAAGUAGAUGAUUGUUUGAAAUAAGUGCGAAAUCUCUAGAAUGAGAACAGAUGUAAAUUGCUGUAGUCAUAGGGUGACUUCUCUGCAAUCAGCCUGAUAGCUCAUCACAGCACAGUCUUAAUUGAACCUGCCAGACUUGUCAGCAUGCUUACUCAAUGCUAUCCCACCCUGUCUAGUUUUGCAGAACAGCGGUAAAGAAUGCUGGUGAGGGCAAAGCUCCACAGAGUAAUGAAAAGUGAACUUCUUAGCAUUUUGACAUCAAGGUAGAGAAUUCUUCCUCCCAGCUGCUUUCCUCAGGAGGCUUAUCCAGUUUGUUGAUUUGAAUAAAAAUGGGCACAAUUAGCUCAAUUAGCUGCUAUAUAAAAUCUCAGUUUUCUGGCCUGAUUCCUCCCGCUCUCGGCCCCACAAUUCCCAAGGACUAGAAUUAUUUUGGUUUUGCUAUAAUUAUCCUCAUAUGGGUGGGGCUCUUCGAAGGCUGCUCACCUUUUCUUUUUUUGGGCUGCCUUAGCUGUUUGUAAGAAGUUGUGGAGAGGCUGAGAGAUGGCCCUGCUUUCUCUUUUCCCUUCCCAAACAGUUUGGACUGAACACAGCGGAGUUGAGUUCACUUGCUCUAAUAACAUAUCACAUGAGGGAGGGCAUAACCUCAGAAGGGGUAUUGAAAGCAAAAAGUGGAGAUUCCAUUGGCCUUUUUACAAACUGGGUUAAAAAUUAAGCUCUGUCUGUGGUGUGUUAAUGUGCUCCUGGAAAAUAUGUCACCAAUUUCAUAGCUGCCUUCCACAUCUUGAAGUGUGGGUAAGAAGCAGUAACUCAGCAGAUCAUUCCAGAUCUUAUGACCUUAGUGGGUUUGUGGAGGUCACCAGCCUAAAUAUGUUUGUGUUCUCUAUAGCAAGUGGGACAAGCAUCUUUUCUCAAAACCUUGAGGUUUUAUUCACAUUGGCCUUUUUUUUUGGCUUUUUUUUGCUCAUGAGAUCUGGAACAAGUACACAAUCUCUUGCAGUGCAAUACACAGCUCUUCAUAUAUGUCAUGUUGUAAGUCCCUUUCAAAUCUGAGGAGAUGGUUAACUUGUUGGGAGGAAAGACAGUGUUGCUGUGAGACAUAUUCUCAGUGGUAGUGCCUGUCUGGAUACUUGUACGUGCAUCACGAGUAUAAGGAAGUAGUUAUGUAAAAGAGUUUUCCAUCCUAUCCCACCUACAGCCUUCCAAGCAGCCCUGAGAUCAGGAUUUCCCUCAUACUGAACAUUAUGGAGAAUGUGCUGUUCCUUUAUCUUCUGUGUUGGACAUCAUUGAGUUGGGAGCAGGUUGCAGCAGUUACAGUUACGUUGUGUGGGAAAUGGGAGUUUGGGUACAGUCUAGAUCAGGGUAGGGAAACUGUUUUGUCUACAUUAUCAGGAUCAGCCUCUUUGACCAAACCUGGCAGGUGUGCAAGGCUGCCAAUGUGUGACUCGCAAGGCAUCACAGUGACGUCUUGGGCCGAAGUACUUUGGACUCUCAGAGUUGGGACUUAAAAGCACCUUGUGGGCUGCUAAAAGGGAGGGGUUGUUCCUUCAUUUUAGCAGAGAGUUGCAUAGAAUCACCUCCUAAAACAGUGAUUUAAAAAAAGAAGAAAAAACCCUCCAUUUUAGCUGAUUUUGAUGCACUUCUCUUUCUGAAUGUUUGGAAUCUCCUGCUAAAAAUGGGAGGGUCCCGCUAUUUUGGCAGGGGAUCAGAUGCAGGCUUUCAUGGAAAACUGCCUAAAUGAUGUAGAGGAAGCCCAUUUCCUUGAAACAAGAAGGUGUUUGCAUGGAAACUGGCCAAACUGAACAGGAUUGAACCCUGCUCCUCAGCUGAUAAGUGGGGGUUCAUUCCUGCUCAGUUUGGCUGUGCACUUCUGGGAACACGUACCCAGCCAAUGCAGGAUUUAACAAUUAUCUAGUGCCUAUUAGGUGAUAUCAUGUGUGAUGUCAGCCAAUGGGUGAAUGGGCAUAGUUUUGGGGAAGUAGCCUGGCAGUUCAAGUUGGACUCCUGGUGGGCCAGGAUUGGCUUGAGGGCUGGAGGUUCCUCACUUCUGGCUUAGAUUAUAUACAGUGGUACCUCGCAAGACGAAUGCCUCGCAAGACGAAAAACUCGCAAGACGAAAGAGUUUUUCGUUUUUUGAGUUGCUUUGCAAGACGAAUUUCCCUAUGGGCUUGCUUCGCAAGACGAAAACGUCUUGCAAGUUUGUUUCCUUUUGGAUUUUCAAUGCAUUCCUAUGGAAAACCGUGCUUCGCAAGACGAAAAAUUCGCAAGACGAAAAAACUCGCAGAACGAAUUAAUUUUGUCUUGUGAGGCACCACUGUACAUGCGUAAGUGAAACCUUUUGAAAGAGGUAUCCAUGUGUACAGUGUUUCUAGAACAGUGUGGUAUGAGGAGGAAAGUUCAGCUUUCAAGUUGUUCUCAGGUGACAUCUACAUACAUCACCAUAUUAAAACAAUAGUUGUACUAGAGUAAAAUACCUGUUCAUAUCUUAAGAAUAGAUACUGCUGUGCAGUUGUGGGGAAGGGAGGGCAAAUGGAGAAGAAUCUGUACAGUCUCUCUCAUCUGCUGUUUCUUGUAUUGGUUUCCAGGAGAAGACAGAGCAUAAGCCCUCGUGAAAUAUAAGGUGCAGUGUUUGGCCAUGUCGGUGGCCUUCUCCCCGUUGGUGGAUGAAGCAGUGGCCUUAGCAACCAUCUCCUCUCUGGGGAGCGGAGAGAAUUCUUUCUCCCUCUCUUCCUGCCCCUCAGGUGUGGCCACUUCACUGCAUGAAGUAUGUUUGCACAUGUUUCACAGUAAAAUAGCCCCCAGAGCACUUCAAAGUACUUCACAGAGCUGUAAUUUCAGCUGCUCUGGGGAAUCCUUUAUUGUGGCACUUCCACGAGCAAAUUCCAACUACUGGCAUUUCUCGGAGCUAAUUCUUGUGUGAAUGAAUCCUAAAAUCGGCUUCUUUCAAACGAGAGUCCAAAACUUUUCCGUUUCAUAAGUUCAUUAGUACCAGUGAAUGGGUUCCAACUGCAAAUGCAGUAUUAGGAAAACUUGGCAGUUUCUGUUUAUUAAAUGCAAGUAAAAUAAACAUGCCCAUUUCUGGGGAAAAUUGUGGAACACCAACAUCACAGAGAGAAUCUGAAGAAAACUUGGGGAAGGUGGUCAGUGGGACAGAUGGCAAUAGAAGGGAAAGCGGCAAUCAGUUUCUUCUAAACUGAAAAGGAGAAAGAUGGGGAUGUUAGAGUGCUUUAAGUCCUAGAAAUUUGCCACUUUCUGUUGCAGUGUUCAAGCAGUUCCUCCAGUUGACAGUUACCAGGGAGUUGCUGCCAAGCGUCUUUCUCAAUGCCUGCCUUCGAAAUCUACCCUGUCCUGGGCACAUCUCACAGUCCUGUCUUAAAAAUGCAACAACUCAAGCUUUCUUCAAGAGGCAGCAAUAUAUUAAAGUGCAGUGAUGUCGGUUUUCGGGGGAGGGGGGGCUGAAUUGAGACUUAUUUUUUUUUUGCAUCAGGACAGGGGGAAAAUUGGUUGGCAUAAGAAAAUACUCUCACAUGCUGGGGUGUGAUCUAAUUUAGCACAAUCAGUUUGCUUGUAUUUAUUAGACAAAGCAAAAAAGUAUUACAUUCCUAGCUUGCCUAGUAUUGUAUUUGCAACUGGCAUCCAUUCAUUUUCUGCAAAUGAGCUUACAAAAAUGGGAUUUCUGCAUAGGAAAAUGAAGCCCCAUAAUUUUUUCUGCCCCAUGCUGCUGGAUUUUCUAAACUCAAUUCUAUAUACAUCAACGUUUGUAAGCAAUUUAACACUAGUGACAACAUUCCAAGCAGUAACCAGGUGUUUACUUUGAAAACGUGAACCCUAGGAGGUAUUUCUACCCGACUUAAAGUCUAUCUUAAUUCUUUUUAGGGAGAAUUGAAGAAUGUGGGGCAGAGCUUAAUGUGAACCUUCUUGAAGUCCUUCUGCAAUUUUCUAGUUCUCUGUCUCUUAAGUUUAUAUGAAUGCGAUCAAAGUUGAUAGGUACUUGUGGGUCAGAAAUUCUUUCUGUUCCAAUUUCCAUCUAUUCCCCCCUCCCCUGCUCACCCCCACUUGCUGCCUGAAACCUUGUGUAAUAUUUAUCUUGGUGCUAGAAUGUUUCUGGAAUACUUGAGGUAAAUUGGAUGAGGCAUUUGGGAGAUAAGAGGGUUCAACAAAAGGGGUGACUUCACUUCUUGAAUAUUCUUCAACUCUGCGUGAGUUCCCUAACCACUUGGCUCACAACUUUUCUAAUCUUUUGCUUUUAGUGGGAGUUAAUAAAUUGGGCCAGCUCUCAUGUGGAAGUUGGCAAGUCUUAGUGUUAGGUACAUAUUUAAUUGCAGCCUUUAUCUCUCAAAUGCUAGGAUAAAUUGCAGGGGCAAUGCCAUGUUUCCAUAGAUGUGGGAGGAGAGGCAUGGGUUGUGCAACUUUGCAAUAAUUUAUUCUGGGUUGCUUAGCCGCAACCUGUAUCGUUUGCUGUUGUUCCUCUCUUCGUUGUGUUACCAUUCCCGCCAGUUACACUUCCGCUGGGGUUUUGUUUUUUUAAAAGGGAUUGUUCAACGUGUUCUCUAGGGGCUGAGGGCCAUGGCUGCAUGCUUGCACUUCAUAGUACUGCCUUGUUUAACACAAAACAGCAUUUGUGAUGUGCUCAUUCUCCCAUCUAGUUGGUCAAUAGCUCUUGACAGAUGGGAGAGUGAGAACUAUUUGUACAGCCUGUAAAGUGCAGGAACAAAAUGCAGGACUGUCUUCCUCCCAACAGUUAGUGUUAUUUCUUAAAGUUUGAAGGAGAAUGAGCAAGUGUUGCAUGCGAUCAUCCUAGCACAACCUGCCCGUGAUCUGCACGUGUCUUUAUCCUUACGUGAGGUUCCUGCUUGUCUCUGGUGGAAUUUUUAAAAUGCCAAUGCUAAUGCAUUUGUUUUGUACAACAGGGCACUCAACAUCUUGUCUGCCAUAACUCAAAUACUGCACGCAGGUUGGACGAUGCACGUGGUUGAAAAGUUGUUUAUGUAGAACUUGCACUGUGCAAAGUGCUUUAGAAAAGCCUUGCUCAUCAUAAUCGUAUGAGGUAUAUUUUUCAGAUUUUGCAGAUGACAAAAUAAGACUGUGUAGCUGAAAAUCGUUUUGAGAGUUCAUAAGAGCUGAGGUGGAAUUUGGCCUUUUAGAUCAUGGGUGAGUGGUGUAGCUUCACAUCAUUAGCUUUGUGAAACCAUGAUAUAUUUGUAAUUGGUUUUCAUCUCGGGGGGGCCUAGUUGCUGCAAAAUUUGGACAUUGGGGUAAGGUGUAAAGGAAGGAAUGGGUUGUGUUAUAGGUGAUGGAGCUCAUACAAAUUAAAAGUCAUAUAAUUCAAAACUAGUUAUACAGCAGACCCCUAAUGUCUCUUUGGCUUUUCUCUGUUUUCUAAGCAAUUACUUCUGCAUCUUCAAGCUUUCUCCUUGACCGUGAAGGCUAAACCACCUUAAAAUUUUCAAGUUUGUAUGUUCCUGCCAGAUUUUUCAUCUUGUGCUGGCAUGUGGCACAACUCACAAUCCACUGUAGGCUGAUUCCCUUUUGGAGAAGCACAAGUUUGGCCCUAAUGUUGCACACGAGCAUAACUGGAAAACCUCCAAGAUGUGACUUAAUACCUUAGCAAUACUGCAUAGAAGUUUAUUUACUUGGGACGUGGAGCUCUGGAACAUAAGCAAAAAAGAUACAGGGCUCUGUCCCAAGGAGCUUGCAGUCUGAUGUUUUGAUAGGAGUGGAGAUGAUAAAAGGAGGACCGGAGAGGGAUGUGCAAGCACUUCAUGGAAUAAAUAGUUUUUGAGGGAGACAUUUGAAGAAAGAGUGAAGUAGUGCCCAGAAGUUUACAACAUUGGGCCUUGUUCUUUGCAAUCUGUGUGCCCAUAUUGCAGCAGAAUCUGUGGUUAAUCUUGUUCCCAAGUAAUGGUAAUUGAGUUUACACUGAAGUGAAAGUUAGAAAGAUAAAAGGAAAACAAAAUAUUAAUGUUCAGUGACCUAGACAGCAUUUCUGUUCCAUGUCCGAAAUUUCCUCUGAGGCAUUUUUUUGAAUCCCCUAGGAGUAAGGUCUCUGGGAAACUUCAUUGUGUUUUUAAAGAACGGAAGCUGAAUGAAAGAUGCAAGAAGGAAAGGAGUGGUUGGGUCGACAAUUUUUUUUAAAAAGGGUGAUAUUCAGCUAAAUUUUACACUGAGUGAACCCACUGAAAUUAAAGUUUAUGACUAAGUAUGAGUCCUGAUUCGCGGUUGGUGCUGUAGGUUAAACCACAGAGCCUAGGGCUUGCCGAUCAGAAGGUUGGCGGUUCGAAUUCCCGGAAUGGGGUGAGUUCCCGUUGCUCGGUCCCUGCUCCUGUCAACCUAGCAGUUUGAAAGCAUGCAGUGCAAGCAGAUAAAUAGGUACCGCUCCAGCGGGAAGGUAAACGGUGUUUCUGUGAGCUGCUCUGGUUUGCCAGAAGCGGCUUCGUCAUGUUGGCCACAUGACCUAGAAGCUGUACGCUGGCUCCCUCAGCCAGUAAAGCAAGAUGAGCGCUGCAACCCCAGAGUUGUCCGCAACUGGACCUAACGGUCAGGGGUCCCUUUACCUUUACGAGUCCUGAUUAGCUUAUGAGGAAAUUCCUCAGAACACUACCUGAAGAUGACUAAAGUAGAGAAUAAGCGAAACUAGCACUGGGGGAUAAGAACACAAAAUAAAACAUGCCAAAAUAGAAUUUAGAGUUAAGCUGAAAUGCGUCUUUGCCUUUCAAAACUGUUUGUAAUUUGCAAAUGGCCUUUCUCUCUUUUAGCUUUUCCAUAGAAUCACAGAAUUGUAUAGACCAUGAGGGUCAUCUAGUCCAACCCUCUGCAAUGCAGGAGCCUUUUUGAACCCAUGACCCCAUGAUUAAGAGUCUCGUGCUGUACAGACCAAGCUAUCCAUCGAGACCUUCCCCUUUACCUGCUACGACUUUUGCCAUCUUUUCUGCUGCUUUGCUUACAAGUUUUCCUUGUGGGAUUCGUGUGGCAUCACCACAGAAUUGCAUGGUGGAAUUUUGCUGUCCCGAUUCAUGUGACCUUUUGAGUAGGCUGGUGGUUAGGUUUGGUGGUGUCAUGUAUCAUGUUGUGGCACAGCAUUUGGUACAUAAUAUUACAGAAGCCAUUGUUGGCAUGACAGCAAACACGGUGGCAGAGGGGAAAUUUAGAAGCCAUGGGAAAAAAUAGUUGGCUCCCCUACCUCAGUUGUGUGUUGUUUUUUACACUAGAUUGUAUAUAGAUUGACCUACUACACCUUCAACAUAAGAGGCCCAGCACUGAGCCUCCAAGUGUUUGAGACUGUUCUACUACCCACCUUCUGUUUAGGAUUAAAAGGCACACACAUCUAUUCUGCAAGCAGGAACUGUGCUAUUGCUUAGCAUAUGAAUAGGAGAACAAAUGCAAAUGCUAAACAUGCAAUUGUUAGCUACUUACAUACCUCACAGUUAAAUAUUAAUAAUAAAUGUAGCUGUUUCUUAAGCUGUGUAACAUAAUAUGCACAAAUUGAAUUUUAUACAGACUAGCUUUCUUUUUCUCCCCCGCCCCUUUGUCAACAGAUCAGCUGUCUGAAAGGGAAGUGAGAAGGUUGUACAGGGCUAGUAAAGGGUGCAACAGACACACCGACAAAGACAUGUGAGCAGCUCACUAGACUCAAGGAUCUGAACUUGUGCUACUGGGCUGUUUUCUUUGCAUAUUGUUUACAUUCAGGAAAGCUAUUUUUGGUUUCCCCAAAACAAUGCUGUUUGACCUUCCCAUUUUUAAAGAGCAGAAUAAUUAACUUCAUUAACCUCAAAAUCAAAACUUUUCUACAUUUUAAAGCAGGUUUUUAAAAAGCAAAACAAACCCAUUAUUUAUUUGUGUUUGCAAACGAGUCUUCCUGGAAUUCCUUUUAAGGUCAUUUCUGUGGGUGUCCUUUAUUAAACCUCUUAAAAUAUUUAUUUCCCUCUCGAUGUUAUAAAAUGAUAACGUUGCUUGUAUGAUGACUGAGAAGGAUGUUUUCCUUCCAAUCGUUUGUUUACAAAGUAAAACAGAUUUCACACAUUUUAAGAAGGCCAUAAAUUCAAGGAUACUUUAUAUUUGUAUUAAGUUCGGAUUUCGUUUUACAGUUCCUUUAAAACAACAACAGAAACAUUGUCCAUGCUUUCAAUUGUGCCCAGAUACACACUGGAAGGUAUUAAAACAAAUUUAAGACUGAUUCGGUCAUCUGGGGGCUGUAAUCCAAAACAUCUGGAGGGCACCAGGUUGGUGAACGGCUACUCUAGAGUAACACGGUGCCUAGAUUUUAAAAGGAAAAGACCAGAUUUUAAACAGGAGAGCUUGAUACAGCUGUCUGCAAGGAAGCCUGCUCACUGGUGGGUUCUUUGCUUGCUUUUAUUGUCUAACAUUUAGAUAGUUGAUGGUUAGACUCCAGCAUUAAGAGUAAAAUAAAAUGGGAUGUUCUCCCAAGACGCCCCCAUUCUAAGCAAGUUAUGAACCUGCCUGCCCAUUGAGAUAGUUGUCUGAGGCCCUCCUAUGUGUCCCAUUAUCCUGAGAAUUGUACCCAGCUGGGACCACAGAGAGAGCUUUCCCCCUGGUUGUUUCCAGUCCUGAAUUUUCUUCCUGAGGGAUGCUCAUCCUCUUUCCUCUCUAAUGGCUUCUCAUAGGAUGGUCAAAGCCUUCCUUUUCCAGAAAGGGACAUAAACAAUUGCUCUCUUUUUGAAGUGGUUUUAAUUGCUGCAGUUAAAUCAACAUUUUUUAAACAGGAGGGCGCUUUCUAUUUUUAAAUUUUAGUGCUUUUAUGGCUGCUUUAUUAUAUUGAAUUGUGAAAUUGUAACUGCGAUUACGUUAUUGUUUUAACUUAGCUGCUUUGGACUUGUUGAGGAAAGACUGGGUAUAAAAUGUUGCAGAAAUAAAUUACGUAUUUGCAUAGAAUUGUAGAUUUGGAAGGGAUCCUGAGGACCAUUUAGUCAAAAAUCUCCUGCAAAGCAGAAAUGUGCAGCUGUCCCAUACGGGAAUCGAACCUGCAACCUUGGCAUUAUCAGCACAGCACUCUAACCAACUGAGCUAUUCAUCGAGUCUUAUUAUUUUAAAAAAGAUGUGAAACUACCUGGGGUUUGGCCUAGGGACAUUUUCAACAACUGGUAGAUAGGUAAUGCAUCUUUAGCAUGUGGCCUGACAGAAGCAAGACAGUUGAUGCAGUUUUACACUUUUUGAUUUGCUGUAUCUUGAGAUGUGCACAAAUAUAUUUGUAUGGGUACCUUAAAGACAGACAACCGGCACUGAAGAAUGUAUUUCUGUUCUGUAGGAUGCAGACUACUGGAUGUUGGCUUGUCGCAAGUUGUAUUAGAAGACUCCAAGAUUCAAGAAAACAGCCCUAACAGUAUGUUGGUAAGUUUAGAGGGUGACUUGGAGGUUUGGAGGGUCACUUCACGUGGGGUGGGGUAACAAAAAAGUUUGUCUCUAAAAUUAAUAGGGGUACAGUAGGAGGAAGGCGAACAGAGAACCUUCGAAAUCAACUUGACAGAGUUGGAACCACUCCACUGAAAAAGUUAUAUAACAGUUAGUGCCAGAAAUGGCCACCUCUGUUCUCGAAAGGCUGAACAAUAUUAAGAACAUUUAAAUGUAUGAGCAUAUGACAUUUCUGCAUGUUGUCAAAUGGUGGGUCCAUAUGUGUGCCAAAUGGCAGUAGAAUCUCUCCAGCAUCUCUCUCUUUUCCAGCCUUGCUAUCUGGACUUUUAAUGAAGAUGUCAGGAUUUUAACCCAGGGCCUUUUAUUCACAAAGGUUGUGUUUUACAACUGGGUGGUGGUUGUUCCUUUUGAUAAAUAAAUUGCGCUGAGAGCCCAGCUUCAGCUUUCUGUAAGAAGCAAUUAAGGGUUAGAGUGCUUGGCUUGGACUAAGAAGACCCAUGUUCAAAUCCUCACCCAGUCAUGCAAUACACUGGGUGACUUUGUACUGUUUCUUAGCCUUGCCUCUCUUACAAGGUGGUAUUACAGACAGAGCAUCACUGUGAGUCUAUUAAUAACAGACUUUUAGGAGAAAAGGUAUUCCUGCAAAUACUCAUCAUAACAAGCUACUAGCAUUUUUUUUUAACUCUUUGGCAAAAUAUAAUCAAUUGGGGCUAACAGAAUAACAGUAUAUUAAAAUAACUUACAAUUGCCACUUCGAGUUAAAAUUUGUAAGCUAGGGUUUUAGUUGCGUGGUUGCUAAAAGCAAUUGUGGUCCUUUAAAAGAUACAGGAAAAGCCCUGCUCACCCUUUUGAGGCCUUUGAAUUUCUGUCUGCUAACUGGCAGAAUAGAACCUUGAUUGAGAUUUUGCAUGAGUGGGAUGAAUGCCGGCUGUUGAAAGCCAGAAACAGAUGAUCAUGAUUUGUAUCCCUACUUGGAAGUUGCUUCUUAAUUGGCAUGCUUGGGCAUAAUGAUGUUCCUAACAUCUUUAUCAUGUAAAUGGCCUCUCAUGGUUGAAUAUGUAUUGAUCUCUUUGGAACGCUCACAGAAGCAGUCUUUCAUGUUGAAUUACCGGAACUUUGCACUUCAGCCUGAGUUAUAUUGAUGCCUAAAGGACUGCCUCCUGGCUUGCCAGAAUGUACAGUUUAAAAGGCAAUAGUUCAGCUGCAGACCUGAUCAAUAUCCGGUAACUGCAGCAUAGUUGACUCACCUUCUAGGACAGUUUGAAUAUGAGCGUGUUUUGGCGUCAUCAGAACGAUUGCUGUCAUCUGUCCUAGCAUUCUGUUCUUCCUUCCAGCAAGCCACUGAGAUGGUGCAGGGAAAGAUGAGUAAGGCUCCAAAAGGCUGCUUUUUGCCAUACUUGGAUUAGGGUAGUACAGUGCUCCCCAAUUUCUGCACAGCAACUUGGAUGUCAAGGUGCCCUGCAGGAUAUAUAUAUGCUCUACAGGUAACAGAUUAUUCCUGGCUUUAUCUUGCAGACCUCUUGAUUGCCAGCCACUGUGCAUCUUGGUUUUUAUUGCUAUAAUCUGCCCUAGUAGGGACUAAUCUAGAGUGAUAAAUCUUGAUAAGGGAUGUCCAGCUUCUGUAAAAUCUAGGCCUAUUAUGUUCUUCUGCAAUGUUUUGUGAGCUAGGGGGUUUAGUUUUGUUCUGCAAACAUGUCUCUUUGCAUGUAGUCAGGUGUCAUAGUUGGCCAUCACAGUUAUAGAGCUCAUAUCAUAGAAAUGCAGAAUUGGAAGGGACCCUGAGGAUCAUCUAAUCCAGUGGUUCUCAACCUGUGGGUCCCCAGAUAUUGUUGGACUACAACUCCCAUCAUCCCUGAGCUCUGGCCUUGCUAGCUAGGGGUGAUGGGAGUUGUAGUUCAACAGCAUCUGGGGACCCACAGGUUGAGAAAGGCUGACUAAUCCAACCCCCUGCAAUGCGGGAAUAUGCAGCUGUCUCAUAAAGGGAUCGAACCUACAACCUUGAUGUUAUCAAAUGUGCAAGUUUAUAAAAGUUUAGAAAUUGCACUGCAAAGGGGACUUGUAAUAAACAGAUAUUUGUUCCUUUAGUUAUAACUUGACAUUGUUUUUCUUCUCUUUGUGAUUGAAAUUGUGUAAAUUGGCGCAGCUAGAUGACCGUUGGAUCCUUUCCAACUCUACAAUUCUAUCAUUUUAAAUUGAUUAAAAUUUGGUAAGACUUCCAGUGGCUAUGUUGAAAUUGCCUUUGGGUCCAGAUUUGGCAGGUGGGUUGCCUGUUGGCGAUUUCUCAGAUAGAGAGUGGCAUUCUUGUUAUGCAGUUGAUAAACUUUUUUAUUAUAGGAAUCCUAAUAACGUUGGGCAUCUAUUGCUUAUUCACAUUGACUUAUCUCCCAAGAAAAUCUGUAAAUCUCAAACAGAGAUACAAUUACUCAGACCACUCUGUGGUCCAAAACCUUGUGUCUCAAAUGUCAUCCUGUGUUGUGGCCAGUUCCCAUAGCAUUUUUUUCCCCAAAGAACAGAGUGCUCUUUUAUUCAUUUUAUUGUAGCUGACACCAGGUCUCACUUUUAUUUCCACAAUUGCUUUUCUUCUCUUAGCGGUAUAUGCUACUUAGUUGAUUUUCUUUUACUUUCUGUGGCCUUCCUGGUCUUUUCUUCCUUCAGCACUGCUUCAACCAUCCUCAACCAUCCCCAACCAACUCACCCUCCUUUUGUUUAUCGUCACACAUCUCAAAAGGUGGGUUUCUCUGCCUUCAGGCUGCCUUUGUCGCUGCCUUGUUGGACCUUGAUAUUCUUCUACAAACUCUGUACAUCACUUUAU
rnacentral:lncRNA from 1 species